CCCGAGCUGUCCAACGCCGCAACCUAAUGCGGGUCCACUACUGUGGGUGGCAGCAAAUAACGCCAUGCGAGGAGCAGGGGUGUUAUGUUAAUGCCGGACAUUCUGCCGGUGAA
rfam:Mahella australiensis 50-1 BON, complete genome.